rnacentral:rRNA from 1 species
CCUACGGGAUGCAGCAGUGGGGAAUAUUGCACAAUGGGGGAAACCCUGAUGCAGCGACGCCGCGUGAGUGAAGAAGUAUUUCGGUAUGUAAAACUCUAUCAGCAGGGAAGAAAAUGACGGUACCUGAUUAAGAAGCCCCGGCUAACUACGUGCCAGCAAUCGCGGUAAUACGUAGGGGGCAAGCGUUAUCCGGAUUUACUGGGUGUAAAGGGAGCGUAGACGGGGGUGCAAGUCAGAAGUGAAAGCCCGGGGCUCAACGCCGGGACGGCUUUUGAAACUGUGUGACUGGAGUGAAGGAGAGGUAAGCGGAAUUCUUGGUGUAGCUGUGAAAUGCGUAGAUAUCAGGAGGAACACCAGUGGCGAAGGCGGAUUACUGGACUUUAACUGACGUUGAGGCUCGAAAGCGUGGGGAGCAAACAGGAUUAGAUACCCCAGUAGUC